rnacentral:tRNA from 2 species
GCUCCAGUGGCGCAAUCGGUUAGCGCGCGGUACUUAUAAUGCCGAGGUUGUGAGUUUGAGCCUCACCUGGAGCA